rnacentral:rRNA from 1 species
UACGUAGGGGGCAAGCGUUGUCCGGAAUGACUGGGCGUAAAGGGAGUGUAGGCGGUUGAUUAAGUUAUGUGUGAAAGCCCGGGGCUCAACCCCGGAACUGCACAUAAAACUGGUCGACUUGAGUGUGGGAGAGGAAAGCGGAAUUCCUAGUGUAGCGGUGGAAUGCGUAGAUAUUAGGAGGAACACCAGAGGCGAAGGCGGCUUUCUGGACCAUAACUGACGCUGAGGCUCGAAAGCGUGGGGAGCAAAC